rnacentral:rRNA from 1 species
UACAGAGGGGGCAAGCGUUGUUCGGAAUUACUGGGCGUAAAGGGCGCGUAGGCGGCCUGUUAAGUCGAACGUGAAAUCCCCGGGCUCAACCCGGGAACUGCGUCCGAGACUGGCAGGCUCGAAUCCGGGAGAGGGAUGUGGAAUUCCAGGUGUAGCGGUGAAAUGCGUAGAUAUCUGGAGGAACAUCGGUGGCGAAGGCGGCAUCCUGGACCGGUAUUGACGCUGAGGCGCGAAAGCCAGGGGGAGCAAACGGG